UACGGAGGGUGCGAGCGUUGUCCGGAAUCACUGGGCGUAAAGGGCGCGUAGGCGGCGCGGGAAGUCAUCGGUGAAAGUUCAGGGCUCAACUCUGAAUCGGCCGGUGAUACUCUCGUGCUCGAGCACUGUAGAGGCAGGUGGAAUUCCGGGUGUAGCGGUGGAAUGCGCAGAUAUCAGGAAGAACACCAGUGGCGAAGGCGACUCACUGGCCCGAUACUGACGCUGAGGCGCGAAAGCGUGGGGAGCAAACAGG
rnacentral:rRNA from 1 species